rnacentral:rRNA from 1 species
UGGGGAAUAUUGCACAAUGGGCGAAAGCCUGAUGCAGCGACGCCGCGUGAGGGACGACGGCCUUCGGGUUGUAAACCUCUUUCAGUAGGGAACAAGGCAUCAUUUUUGUGGUGUUGAGGGUACUUGCAGAAGAAGCACCGGCUAACUACGUGCCAGCAGCCGCGGUAAUACGUAGGGUGCAAGCGUUAUCCGGAAUUAUUGGGCGUAAAGAGCUCGUAGGCGGUUUGUCGCGUCUGUCGUGAAAGUCCGGGGCUCAACUCCGGAUCUGCGGUGGGUACGGGCAGACUAGAGUGAUGUAGGGGAGACUGGAAUUCCUGGUGUAGCGGUGGAAUGCGCAGAUAUCAGGAGGAACACCGAUGGCGAAGGCAGGUCUCUGGGCAUUAACUGACGCUGAGGAGCGAAAGCAUGGGGAGCGAACAGGAUUAGAUACCCUGGUAGUCCAUGCCGUAAACGUUGGGCACUAGGUGUGGGGGACAUUCCACGUUUUCCGCGCCGUAGCUAACGCAUUAAGUGCCCCGCCUGGGGAGUACGGCCGCAAGGCUA